rnacentral:misc_RNA from 1 species
AAACCAAGUAAAAUUUCUAGGACAAAAAGCCUCCCGAGUCCUGUCCAAAUGUGCUAUUGUGUUUGGUUCAUAUCCAAAGGGUGUAAAGUAUCUGGAGGGAUCUAAGAACAUCCGUCAUUUGACCAUAUCAACCCUUUAGGUUUAGAGUCGACCCAACCUUGACUUCGUCGGAGUACUCUGACCGUAGGUUCAUGUCCCUACUGCCUUCUAAAGCUAUUGUU